GCCACUCCCACAAAUGUCGACGGCUGCUCCUGCAUAUUUUUGCAUGUUUACAAUUCUAAUUUUGAACAGCCUAUCCGGUUCUUGCAUUACAAUUACAAUUAAACGUCGAUUGGAUGUUUAAAAUAAGAAUUGUAAACAUGCAAAGAUAUGUAGGUGCGGUCGUAGACGUUUGUGGGGGUGGC